AACGAACGCUGGCGGCAUGCCUAAUACAUGCAAGUCGAACGAAAUCUUCGGAUCUAUUGGCGCACGGGUGCGUCACGCGUGGGAAUCUGCCCUUGGGUUCGGAAUAACUUCUGGAAACGGAAGCUAAUACCGGAUGAUGACGUAAGUCCAAAGAUUUAUCGCCCAAGGAUGAGCCCGCGUAGGAUUCGCUAGUUGGUAGGGUAAAGGCCCACCAGGGCGACGAUCCUUAGCUGGUCUGAGAGGCUGAUCAGCCACACUGGGACUGAGACACGGCCCAGACUCCUACGCGAUGGAGGAGUAGGGAAUAUUGGAAAAUGGGCGAAAGCCUGAUCGAGCAAGGCUGGGAGAGUGAUGAAGGCCGUAGAGAUGUAAAGCUCUUUUACCCGGGAUGAUAAUGACAGUACCGGGAGAAUAAGCCCCGGCUAACUACGUG
rnacentral:rRNA from 1 species